GUGGAUUUGAUACCCGAGUAGUCCACGCCGUAAACGAUGAAUGCUAGGUGUGGGCGCGAUAGCGUCCGUGCCGCAGUUAACACAAUAAGCAUUCCACCUGGGGAGUACGGCCGCAAGGUUGAAACUCAAAGGAAUUGACGGGAGCCCGCACAAGCAGUGGAGUAUGUGGUUUAAUUCGACGCAACGCGAAGAACCUUACCAGAGCUUGACAUCCCUCUGAAAGACCGAGUAAUGUUGGUCCCUCCUUCGGGACAGAGGAGACAGGUGGUGCACGGUCGUCGUCAGCU
rnacentral:rRNA from 1 species